rnacentral:lncRNA from 1 species
GGUUUAUUAGGGCAGGAAGAUACGGUACAAUAUAAGCAGGAAAAGCAAAAAUCUUACAAAUAAAUCACAUUUAAGUGUGUUAACUCACAAAAUUUUUUAGUGAACUUGUAAUUCUAGACAAGCACUGUGGCAAGCUUAUUAAUAUUAUCAUUUGCUAAUUUAGGAAAGAGAGAAGAGCCAAAUGAAUUGUUGCAAAAUGGUAAAUUUUUAAUAUGAUGAAACACAGAAAGAAACUACUAAUCAAAAGACAGUGAUACUAAUAAAAAGAUUGAGGCCUGAAAAGUAGCAUCCUAUUUUUAAUGUUUGAACUAAUGUUUUCCAGAGAACUGCUUAGAGUGAAACAUAGCAUUGUCUGCGAAAGUCAAUUUUGUGAAAACCGCAAAAAUGAGUAUCUGCUCUUG